GGAUCCCCUUUUUAUAGGCGGAGGGCUCAACAGACUAAUAGCGACGUUCAUAACCGUCUCGUAGUGGGCCGCCCACCGUCAGGAGGAAUUUGUUGCGAGGAGUAAUGGAGUAGACCCGUGGCCCUCACUGCAGCGCGCCACGUGGAGUCUGUCAUAGGGAGUGGAGCGGCGUCCGUUGUCGUGACUUGCCAGCGGAUGGAGGAAUCGCGCAGUAUCCAUUACAGAAGGUGGAGCAGGAUCGUGGCCGUCAUAGCGGUCUGUCAGGGAAUGAUGGAGCUGCACAGAAUCCGUCGCAGGAAGUGGAGCAGGAUCGUGGUGGUUGCUGUGUUGCGCCAGAAAGUGCGGAUUCGUCGGCUGAAGUUCGGCAG
rnacentral:lncRNA from 1 species